UACGUAGGGUGCAAGCGUUAAUCGGAAUUACUGGGCGUAAAGCGUGCGCAGGCGGCUUUGCAAGACAGAUGUGAAAUCCCCGGGCUCAACCUGGGAAGUGCAUCGCAAACGAUAUUACUGGAGUACUAGAGAGGGUGGCGGAAUUUCCGGUGUAGCGGUGAAAUGCGUAGAGAUCGGAAAGAACACCAACGGCGAAAGCACUCUGCUGGGCCGACACUGACACUGAGAGACGAAAGCUAGGGGAGCGAAUGGG
rnacentral:rRNA from 1 species